rnacentral:rRNA from 1 species
AGUGAACGCUGGCGGCAGGCCUAACACAUGCAAGUCGAACGGCAGCACAGAGGAGCUUGCUCCUUGGGUGGCGAGUGGCGGACGGGUGAGGAAUGCAUCGGAAUCUGCCUAUUUGUGGGGGAUAACGUAGGGAAACUUACGCUAAUACCGCAUACGACCUACGGGUGAAAGUGGGGGACCUUCGGGCCUCACGCAGAUAG